rnacentral:lncRNA from 1 species
GGGACUGCUGCACUAGCAGUGAGCAAGGCUCCUUGGGUGUGGGACCUCCUGCGCCAGGCACAGGAUGUAAUCUCCUGGUGUGUCAUUUGCUAAGACUGUUGGAAAAGUACAGUAUUUAGGUGGCAGUGUCCUGAUUUUCCCGGUAUAGUCUGUCAUGGCUUCCCUUGGCUAGGAAAGGGAAAUCCCCCAGGCCCUUGCAUUUCAUGGGUGAGGCGAUGCCCCAAGCUGCUUUGACUUGCCCUCCGUGGGCUGUACCCACUGUCCAACCAGUACCAAUGAGAUGAACCAGGUACCUCAGUUGGAAAUGCAGAGAUCACUUGUCUUCUGUGUCAAUCAUGCUGGGAGCUGCAGACCGGAGCUCUUCCUAUUCAUCCAUCUUGGAACAGUGUGUCCCCAGUGGAAUUCUUGAAGUGGUCCACGUGUCUACUUUAUUAGAAUGCAUGUGGUCGGCCAUGAGACUCUCCCCAUAGAAUGUCUGAGCCAGUGGCCAUGUACGGUGCUGGCAGUCAACAUCGUGAUGACC